CAGACCUGGAGGAAGCUGUAAGCCCUGCAGCUCAGUGCUGCUGCUGUUUGCCACAGAGAGAGCUCCCUGCACUCCCAGCUCGUGGAGUGAUUUGCGUUUCUAAGGACUGUUCCUGAAACGACUUCUGCUGUGAUGUCGCCAGGACAAAUGCACCAGCCAGGAGCUGUGCCUCCAUCAGGAGCUUCCUAAAGAAGUGCAGGAGCUGCCAAUGGAAUCGUGAUAUCACUCGGCAGAUAACACUCAUUUGCUUUAGUGCUGACUGAAAUAGAAGAUGAGCGAUACUAAAGAUUACCAUCCUGGUGACAGAGAAAAUAAGGGAGAAAUAAGAAGCAUCACUUCUUCUAAUCUUUCCUUUUGAAGUAUCUUCAGGCAUAAAAACGAUGAUUUUGGAAAAAUGCAUCUGUUUGAAAGCCACAGGGUACUAAUGUAGUGCUUUUCAAAACAAAGGACUUUUAAAAAUGUUGAUGAAAUGUCUCUAAAGCAGGAGAGAAUGCAGUGGUUUGUAGAAGUCUGGGGUUGCUCUGCAAAAACUGGCACAGGACAACUGGAGAAGUUUUGUUAUUCAAAGUUUAUUUCCAGAAGUGCUGGACAAUGAGACAAAGGGAAGCAACGGCUUGAAACAGCCGCCCAUCUCCAGCUGCUGAACAGCUGGCAGGGGAGCAGGCAAAGGUGGAGCAACCUUGGGACCUUUCCUGUGCAGCGUGUGGGAUGGAGGCUGUCCAGAGAGAGGUGAUCUGCUCAGGCCUAGAGCUGAACCCGCUCGGUCCAUAGUGUGCACCAGGCCUGGGGCUGUCCUUAUCUACGGAACAUCACGUCCAUUAGGUGUCCAUCUUCCUUAACCUGGCACCUGAGCUGUUCCCAGGAGGAUUUCCGACCACUGCCAUGGGAUAAUGCUUCAGUUUGGUGACAGUGUGGGCACUGCUGGUGGAGCUAAACAGGAGUCGCUGUCAAACUUCCCUGUUUGAGCUGCCUGAUGGAGUUUGAACAGCAGCCAAGAUGGGUGGGAGCCAAAGGAGCUGCUGGAGGUAGGGGUUACAGCACUGCCACUUACAUUUUGGCUUCGUUAGGCUUAUUCUGCAAAAGGGGUUGCUUACUUUACUGACUAAUCGGUGUGCUUUGUGAAAAGCACCCUCCUUAGCAGCUGUAAAAGUGGGCUAGGAGAAAAUACAGAACAGAAAGUUUUUUUCUGAGAAAAGAUCAAAAGUGCAUUUUUCUUCUGAAACUCAUUAUUUUUUCAUCUUGUUUUAUGAUUUUAUAUUAUCUCAUGGCUUGUUAAUACCAGCAGAGGGCUGUUACAUGUCAAUUCACAUCAGCAUUCCCAGCCAUAUCACAUGGCAUAAUCCCAGUCGUGUAUAUAUAUAUAUAUAUAUAUGUAUAUACAUUUAUUUAAGUAUUGCAGGCAGAUGAAUAUAACCUUUUAUUUUCAGGUCUGAACAACAACUGUUAAGCAUUACUGAGAAAUACUCUUAUGCUUGCUUGCUGUGAGUAGAAAGUGAUCCUGGCGCGUCAUAUAAUCAAGUCAAACAGGAAACACAAGCAACUAAAUAAAAAGUUCCAAAUUACUUUGGUAAUAAACUGGGGGGAAGAUUUUUUUUUAACCUUAUCUUCUACUUAUUUCAGUGUUUUCUUCUCUAUGGGGAAUUUUAGAAAGGAACUGCCUUUUAAUUCCAAGUUGUGAUGUGCUCCUUGGACUGAAAUCAGAUCUUGAAACGGUGCAUCAGGAGAAGCAGAAACCUCACAUUUCAGGUGUGACUGUAAACAUUUCUGCUGCAGCUUCUCAUCAGGAAAAUCUGCAUGGAUCAGGUGGAAGUGUUUUGGAAGCUGAUGCUCACAGAGCAGUAUUCCAGGAUAAAUCACAGUCAGCAAUAGUAAUAUGCUUAAGAAAUUCCUAAACAUAAUUUCCUGCAAUCUGCCAUUCUCUUCUGUGGGGAAAAAACAAAACAAAACAAAAAAGAACAAACCCACUGACAAAAACUUGUUCUUCCGAUGGAGAUCUUUGUCUUGUUUUAAUCUUCUGAAGAAAUUUGAAAGAGUCCCAGGAAUGUUUUGAAAUUUAACCAUCGUGUAGGGAGGAGCUGCAUUUCCAACUACUCAUUUCAUCUGCCAAAAGAAGGUUAAAUAAAAGCCUUCCCCGCUCUGGGACAGAACGUCAACAGGCAAAGGAACUGAGAAACCAAAGCAACGUGUGGAGAUUUGAACAGGAAUUGAAAGGAAUUUCAGAGGUAAAAGUGGUCUUAUUGAAAGGUGCAAUGCUCCCCAUGGCUGUUUGGAAGGGGAUGAUGAUGUCUGGACUUAAAUUCUCUGCUCUUUUUGCCCAUGAUUUGCAUGUUUGUCUCUCAAAUGUGGGACUGAUCCCAAGACUCCUUCAUCAUGGGAUGACCUAGGAUAAAAGGAGCCCAAUAAACUCUGUUUUCAAGGCAACUGGAGAAAAUUGACCAAUGCAUUCUGUGUACUAAAUGAUUAUUUGUGUAAUUUCCGUGCAAAUUAAGAAAAUCAUAAGUAAAGGUAAAUUCUUAGGCAUGAGGUGGAUAAAACAAGAGGGAAAAUGAGCAUCUGUAAAAGCUAUUCCACUUGUGCGUAUAAAUCAGGAGACUGUGGUCUCAAGUAGAGAAUCAGACUGAGCUGCCUGCUGUUAUGCAUUUAAAUUAAGCAGGAGCCUAAUGGCUUUUUAAAAAUUUGGCCCUAAGUGUUUUUCUCUGUGAAGAGAUCAUCUAAUCAAAAUAGUGCUUUAGAAUAAAGAACUCUUCAAUAGCAAACAUGAGCGAGGAGCUCCAAGUACUGGUAAAAGCUCCACCACCAGGGCAAGGCUUGUUACAGCCCAUAAAGGGCUGAAGUGGCACUUUGCAGCCAAACUGCUGGUGGAGAUGGGAACAGGGGAAACGGUGCCACAGCACAACAAAGUGAAUGGGUGCUGAUGGAAGGGCUGGUUUACCUUUACUCACUUCUUUGCCUUUUGCAGAGAUGUGCUGAGGUUUUUAAACCAGCAAGCCCCCAGAUGUCAGCUCAGUGGAGUUCAGCAGUGAGAUUUCUUCCUGUUAAUGUUCCAUUUCCAAGCGUGGUUGUAUACGGAUUUCUAUGGGAUUUCUCUACUUUGAUCUUUUGAACUGAGCUCUAAAAGAGGCUGUAGAAAUUUCCUAGAAAGUUUUGACCUAAUUCCUAGUCUGGGUGAAAAGAUUCAGUAGUAUUUGAAUCAGCUGCUUCCAGGCAGUGUCAGGAGACCACCUUUCCCCGACCCUGGGGCCAAGAGGUCAUGCUUGAAGCGCAGCUCUGCAGCUCAGAAGACUCAGCUCAGCCACCGCUGUGUGUUUCCAGCUGUUUGUUCCUCUAUGUGCAACAGUUCAUUUUCCUUCUCCAUCAAAAUGUCUUUGUGUAGACACGGAAUGUCUGUGUGAGCACAACUCAAAACCAUGUGUGCAAAGCGUUAUUAGUACAAAAUACAGAAGUGUCUGAGUACAAAGCACCCGUGCCAUUCACCUGCCCUUGUUCAGCUCUGUAAAUACCUAGAACUGGACUGAAAUACUUCUUCUGGAGAAAGCAUUUGUGUAGAGAGAUUUUAAAAGUAAGUUCAGUCUAAUUGCAGCCUUUUAGAGCUUUACAGCUACAUUCACUUUGAGUAUCAGGAGGUGAGAUUAGGAUUUUUAGGUCUGCUCUGAGAAGAGCUGAAGAGAGGUUGUGGUCCCACGCUGGGAUUUCAGCUGUUCGGAGGCUCACUGGGAAGAGGCAAGACAGAUUGAAUCUGGUUCAUUUUAGCCAGGUGUCACAGGCACAGCCGCUUGCUCACAGACACCCUGCAGCGUGUCCCAGGAACAGCAUCUUCAUGAGAAGAGUAAUUAGGACACCUCCUCAGCCAGUCAAGCAAAAAGGGCUCAGUGUUGGCACAGCAAUUUAAACCUUCUAUAGAGAUUAGACAGAAGUUCUUAGGUUCUAGAUGCAAAUGCUCAGUCACGACCUGAAA